CCUACGGGGGGCAGCAGUGGGGAAUAUUGCACAAUGGGGGAAACCAUGAUGCAGCGACGCCGCGGGAGUGAAGAAGUAUUUCGGUAUGUAAAGCUCUAUCAGCAGGGAAGAAAAUGACGGUACCUGAUUAAGAAGCCCCGGCUAACUACGUGCCAGCAGCCGCGGUAAUACGUAGGGGGCAAGCGUUAUCCGGAUUUACUGGGUGUAAGGGGAGCGUAGACGGCAGCACAAGUCUGGAGUGAAAUGCCGGGGCUUAACCCCGGAACUGCUUUGGAAACUGUGCAGCUAGAGUGCAGGAGAGGUAAGUGGAAUUCCUAGUGUAGCGGUGAAAUGCGUAGAUAUUAGGAGGAACACCAGUGGCGAAGGCGGCUUACUGGACUGUAACUGACGUUGAGGCUCGAAAGCGUGGGGAGCAAACAGGAUUAGAUACCCUAGUAGUC
rnacentral:rRNA from 1 species